rnacentral:rRNA from 1 species
UGGGUUUGACAUGGAUCGGGAGUGCUCAGAGAUGGGUGUGCGUCUUUUGGGGUCGGUUCAC